UACGAAGGGGGCUAGCGUUGCUCGGAAUUACUGGGCGUAAAGCGCACGUAGGCGGCUUAUUAAGUCGGGGGUGAAAUCCUGGAGCUCAACUCCAGAACUGCCUUCGAUACUGAUGAGCUUGAGUUCGGGAGAGGUGAGUGGAACUGCGAGUGUAGAGGUGAAAUUCGUAGAUAUUCGCAAGAACACCAGUGGCGAAAGGCGGCUCACUGGCCCGAUACUGACGCUGAGGUGCGAAAGCGUGGGGAGCGAACAGG
rnacentral:rRNA from 1 species